GAUGAACGCUGGCGGCGUGCCUAAUACAUGCAAGUCGAGCGAACGGACGAGAAGCUUGCUCCUCUGAUGUUAGCGGCGGACGGGUGAGUAACACGUGGAUAACCUACCUAUAAGACUGGGAUAACUUCGGGAAACCGGAGCUAAUACCGGAUAAUAUUUUGAACCGCAUGGUUCAAAAGGGAAAGACGGUUUUGCUGUCACUUAUAGAUGGAUCCGCGCUGCAUUAGCUAGUUGGUAAGGUAACGGCUUACCAAGGCAACGAUGCAUAGCCGACGUGAGCGGGUGAUCGGCCGCCCGGGAACUGAGACACGGUCCAGACUCCUACGGGAGGCAGCAGUAGGGAAUCUGCCGCAAUGGGCGAAAGCCUGACGGAGCAAGGCGGCGUGAGUGAUGAAGGUCUUCGGAUCGGAAAACCCUGUUAUUAGGGAAGAACAUAUGUGUAAGUAGCUGUGGACAUCUUGACGGUACCUAAACAGAAAGCCACGGCUAACUACGUG
rnacentral:rRNA from 1 species